rnacentral:rRNA from 1 species
CAGCCGCGGUAAUUCCAGCUCUCAUACUGCAUUGAAUCGUUGUUGCGGUUAAAAAGCUCGUAGUUGGAUCUGUACACGGUGUCUGUGGACUGCUCCUAGUGGGUGGUUCUGCAGCACGUGUUUAAUGGUCGGUGUGUGGCGGAUCCCUCGGGGUUCGUCGCUGCUGACGAGUUUACUUUGAAUAAAUCAGAGUGCUCAAAACAGGCGUAUGCUUGUAUGGUUUUGCAUGGAAUAAUGGAAUACGACACUGCGUGUGAUUGUUUUUCAUUGGUUUUGCUCACCAGUGUAAUGAUUAAAAGGGACAAACGGGGGCAUUCGUAUCGUCGGGCGAGAGGUGAAAUUCGUGGACCCUGGCGAGACGUACUACAGCGAAAGCAUUUGCCAAGAAUGUUUUCAUUAAUCAAGAACGAAAGUCAGAGGAUCGAAGGCGAUCAGAUACCGCCCUAGUUCUGACCGUAAACUAUGCCAUCUAGCGAGUCGCAUGCGGAUUUUCUUAUUCGCCUCUGUGACGAGCUUUCCGGAAACGAAAGU